UACGUAGGUGGCGAGCGUUAUCCGGAAUUAUUGGGCGUAAAGGGUGCGUAGGUGGUCUUUUAAGUGAGAUGUGAAAUCCCGGGGCUUAACUCCGGAACUGCAUUUCAAACUGGGAGACUAGAGUGCAGGAGAGGAAAGUGGAAUUCCUAGUGUAGCGGUGAAAUGCGUAGAGAUUAGGAGGAACACCAGUGGCGAAGGCGACUUUCUGGACUGUAACUGACACUGAGGCACGAAAGCGUGGGGAGCAAAC
rnacentral:rRNA from 1 species